rnacentral:rRNA from 1 species
UACGUAGGGUGCAAGCGUUAAUCGGAAUCACUGGGCGUAAAGGGUGCGUAGGCGGGUCUUUAAGUCAGAGGUGAAAUCCUGGAGCUCAACUCCAGAACUGCCUUUGAUACUGAGGAUCUUGAGUACGGGAGAGGUGAGUGGAACUGCGAGUGUAGAGGUGAAAUUCGUAGAUAUUCGCAAGAACACCAGUGGCGAAGGCGGCUCACUGGCCCGUAACUGACGCUGAGGCACGAAAGCGUGGGGAGCAAACAGG